rnacentral:rRNA from 1 species
UCAGCUCGUGUCGUGAGAUGUUGGGUUAAGUCCCGCAACGAGCGCAACCCCUGUGGUUUGUUGCCACCCGGUUUACCGGAGCACUCGAACCAGACUGCCUCGAUCAACGAGGAGGAAGGUGGGGAUGACGUCAAGUCCGUAUGGCCCUUACGACCAGGGCUGCACACGUACUACAAUGCCCAGCACAAUGAGAACCGAGA